rnacentral:miRNA from 1 species
UAUAUGUGUGCAUGUAUGUGUACAUGUGCAUGUGCAGUUACAUGUGCAUAUUUACAUGAAGUAUAAAUAU